UGUCUCCUUUUUCUAAUCAGUGAAACUAAUCUCCCCGUGAAGAAGCGGGGAUACUCCUAUAAGACGAGAAGACCCCAUGGAGCUUUAAACCCAACUACACCCCCAACUUUUAAAGCCACUAAACCCCAGGGGCCCUGUUACGUUGGUUUUAGGUUGGGGCGACCACGGAGUACAAUAAAACCUCCAUAAUGAACAGAACUAUUCCUUUAUCCAAGAGCUACACCUCUAAGAAUUGAUAUAUCAACAUAAUAUGAUCCAUUUUUUGAUCAAUGAACCAAGUUACCCUGGGGAUAACAGCGCAAUCCAUUUCAAGAGCCCCUAUCGACAAAUGGGUUUACGACCUCGAUGUUGGAUCAGGGUAUCCCAGUGGUGCAGCAGCUACUAAUGGUUUGUUUGUUCAACAAUUAAAACCCU
rnacentral:rRNA from 1 species